UUUUUUUNUUUUUUUUUUUUUUUUUUGUAUUUUACAGGACUAACUGCAGCCUCUAUUUCUAUGAAGGGAAAGAAUUCGUGUGCUGCACCAUUUUCCGUGUCUACAACAAGGGAACUCAGACCUGUGGGACUGCUUUUGUGAUAAGUUGCUUACAGCUGUAGAGUCAAUUAAGUAACAUAAUUUGAGGGGAAAAUCGAAUUUAAAAUAAAUUGAGAAAUAACCACGAACUAUUACAAUCCCCUUUUUCCUUGUGAGAGCUAAUUAGAAUUCUAUCCUUAAACUUCAACUAUAAUGAAAUGUGACACUCAAAGAAAUUUCAUCAUCAGUUCAUAAAAAAUGACAACGCUCUAGAUGCGUUCUUUUGUCAAAAGUUUUACAGAGUGGAAAGAAAGGUCUUCUACAACCACAUUUCACGGGAUUUCACAAUGAUCUGGAAUCUACUAGAAGUUGUUAUACAGACUAAAUAGACUAUAUAAAAACAACUUUUCCGUAUCAGUUUAAGAACCGAACAGACUAUCUGUUAAAAUGAUGCAUCUCAAGAGAAUUGAUUUUUUCCUGUACUGAGUAUCUGAGUUCUAAUUCAUCAGUCAAAAGAAAGGCAAGCUGAACCAAAAUUUAAUGACUCUACGUUGUACAGUUAAUUUAUGAUCGCUUGAAUUUGAUUUGCUUCAUUAUGAACUUGAUCGUCUAUGUAUAGGUUCGAACAUUUUAUCUCAAAACAAAUUUCGAGACAGUAUUUAUAUUGAUUGCUUACACUGAUGAUUGUAAUAUUAUAAUUAAUAUAUUAAUGUUAUAAUUAAUAUUCAUAUACCGGUAUAUAUUCAUAUACUGGUGGAUGUAAUUAAAAUAAUAUUUCGUGUUGGUUUCAUCAUUUACCUUCAAAACAUAAAUU